AGAGUUUGAUCAUGGCUCAGAUUGAACGCUGGCGGCAGGCCUAACACAUGCAAGUCGAACGGUAACAGGAAGAAGCUUGCUUCUUUGCUGACGAGUGGCGGACGGGUGAGUAAUGUCUGGGAAACUGCCUGAUGGAGGGGGAUAACUACUGGAAACGGUAGCUAAUACCGCAUAACGUCGCAAGACCAAAGAGGGGGACCUUCGGGCCUCUUGCCAUCGGAUGUGCCCAGAUGGGAUUAGCUAGUAGGUGGGGUAACGGCUCACCUAGGUGACGAUCCCUAGCUGGUCUGAGAGGAUGACCAGCCACACUGGAACUGAGACACGGUCCAGACUCCUACGGGAGGCAGCAGUGGGGAAUAUUGCACAAUGGGCGCAAGCCUGAUGCAGCCAUGCCGCGUGUAUGAAGAAGGCCUUCGGGUUGUAAAGUACUUUCAGCGGGGAGGAAGGGAGUGAAGUUAAUACCUUUGCUCAUUGACGUUACCCGCAGAAGAAGCACCGGCUAACUCCGUGCCAGCAGCCGCGGUAGUACGGAGGGUGCAAGCGUUAAUCGGAAUUACUGGGCGUAAAGCGCACGCAGGCGGUUUGUUAAGUCAGAUGUGAAAUCCCCGGGCUCAACCUGGGAACUGCAUCUGAUACUGGCAAGCUUGAGUCUCGUAGAGGGGGGUAGAAUUCCAGGUGUAGCGGUGAAAUGCGUAGAGAUCUGGAGGAAUACCGGUGGCGAAGGCGGCCCCCUGGACGAAGACUGACGCUCAGGUGCGAAAGCGUGGGGAGCAAACAGGAUUAGAUACCCUGGUAGUCCACGCCGUAAACGAUGUCGACUUGGAGGUUGUGCCCUUGAGGCGUGGCUUCCGGAGCUAACGCGUUAAGUCGACCGCCUGGGGAGUACGGCCGCAAGGUUAAAACUCAAAUGAAUUGACGGGGGCCCGCACAAGCGGUGGAGCACGUGGUUUAAUUCGAUGCAACGCGAAGAACCUUACCUGGUCUUGACAUCCACGGAAGUUUUCAGAGAUGAGAAUGUGCCUUCGGGAACCGUGAGACAGGUGCUGCAUGGCUGUCGUCAGCUCGUGUUGUGAAAUGUUGGGUUAAGUCCCGCAACGAGCGCAACCCUUAUCCUUUGUUGCCAGCGGUCCGGCCGGGAACUCAAAGGAGACUGCCAGUGAUAAACUGGAGGAAGGUGGGGAUGACGUCAAGUCAUCAUGGCCCUUACGACCAGGGCUACACACGUGCUACAAUGGCGCAUACAAAGAGAAGCGACCUCGCGAGAGCAAGCGGACCUCAUAAAGUGCGUCGUAGUCCGGAUUGGAGUCUGCAACUCGACUCCAUGAAGUCGGAAUCGCUAGUAAUCGUGGAUCAGAAUGCCACGGUGAAUACGUUCCCGGGCCUUGUACACACCGCCCGUCACACCAUGGGAGUGGGUUGCAAAAGAAGUAGGUAUCUUAACCUUCGGGAGGGCGCUUACCACUUUGUGAUUCAUGACUGGGGUGAAGUCGUAACAAGGUA
rnacentral:rRNA from 1 species